rnacentral:rRNA from 1 species
UUUGGUGGCGAUAGCGAAGAGGUCACACCCGUUCCCAUGCCGAACACGGAAGUUAAGCUCUUCAGCGCCGAUGGUAGUCGGGGGUUUCCCCCUGUGAGAGUAGGACGCCGCCAACU